rnacentral:rRNA from 1 species
GUUCACGCUGUAAACGAUGACGACUGGGUGUUUCGGGUAUUGACUCCCGAGGUGCCGAAGCUAACGCGUUAAGUCGUCCGCCUGGGAAGUACGGCCGCAAGGCUAAAACUCAAAGGAAUUGACGGGGGCCCGCACAAGCGGUGGAGCAUGUGGUUUAAUUCGACGCAACGCGAAGAACCUUACCCGGGCUCGAAAAUGCAAGAAGUCGCCUGAAAGGGUGAUUUGCCGCAAGGAGCUUGUAUCAGGUGCUGCAUGGCUGUCGU